rnacentral:lncRNA from 1 species
UCAGCCUCUCAAAGACAACUCCAUCUCUCAUUCACAUGCUCUCUUCUCCCAUCUCUAACUAUAAGUACAUAAUAAAGAGUUGUAGACAAAUUAUAGACCCUACCCUUCUCAAUUCAUCACAGCCUUAUCCCCUUCUUUCUCAACUUUCUGUGAUUCACAACCAUAUAACCCUCUUACCCCAUCCCUUCAUUCUUAGUAGUGCUACAGUAGUGUCCAUGGAUUUUUUCCAUUCCUUGGCUUGCAGAGCAGGGAAGCUCAUUUUUUUCAUUGAAGAAGGUGGGGUUGUACCACCAUCUACAACACGGGUUGACACUCCAGCAUGUGUUCUCCCACUCACUCACAAGACUUAGUCCACCCCAUUUUUAGUUAGAAGCAACGUUGCAGAAGUAUGUUAUCAAUGAUAGCUACUCAGCUUGUUUCUUCUCAACUAGUGUUUCUUCUCAACUAGUGAUAAUCCUAUCAUUUAUGAUUGUAGAAUGUCUAAAACACAUUGCAACUAAGGGGAUGAUGUUGGACGAUGUUUGGAAUGAGAUGAGGUUCCUUCAAGUGCACCAAGGUUGAUGUCAGGUUUGCAGGACGAGUUAAUGUACACAGAAAAUGACUUCAGAAUGACUUUAGAUGAACAUGAGAUUGCAUGGCAUUAUCAACCGUGGAUAGAGUGUAUACCUGAAUUUGAAUUGAAUUGGUUUUAAGUUAAUGAAACCAUAAUUGGAUUGGGAAGCGGGUUUGGAGUUUUGGAUCAUCCAGGUCAAAUCAGGCAUAAUGUUAUGUUUUUUUUAUUAUAGUUGACUUAAGUAGAUUGAGUUCUUAAAUAAUGUUAUGUUUUAUGAUUAUUGAAUUCUAUAAAUGAUUAUUAUUUAUCACAUGAAUAGUAUUUUUCUCGUUUUCUUGUAAAAUAAAAUAUCUUAUUAUGUUUGAGCUUAGAUGAUUUUUUUUUUU